rfam:Camelus ferus unplaced genomic scaffold scaffold2231, whole genome shotgun sequence.
GAAGGUAUAGCUCAGUGGUAGAGUGUGUGCUUAGCAUGCCCAGGGUCCUGGAUUCAAUCCCCAGUACCUCCA